rnacentral:rRNA from 1 species
GAUGAACGCUGGCGGCGUGCCUAAUACAUGCAAGUCGAGCGAACAGACGAGGAGCUUGCUCCUCUGACGUUAGCGGCGGACGGGUGAGUAACACGUGGAUAACCUACCUAUAAGACUGGGAUAACUUCGGGAAACCGGAGCUAAUACCGGAUAAUAUGUUGAACCGCAUGGUUCAAUAGUGAAAGACGGUUUUGCUGUCACUUAUAGAUGGAUCCGCGCCGCAUUAGCUAGUUGGUAAGGUAACGGCUUACCAAGGCGACGAUGCGUAGCCGACCUGAGAGGGUGAUCGGCCACACUGGAACUGAAACACGGUCGAGACUCCUCCGGAAGGCAACAGUAGGGAAUCUUCAGCAAUGUGCGAAAGCCUUACGGAGCAACGCCGAGUGAGUAAUAAAGGUCUUCGGAUCGUAAAACUCUGUGAUUAGGGAAGAACAAAUGUGUAAGUAACUAUGCACGUCUUGACGGUACCUAAUCAGAAAGCCACGGCUAACUACGUG